GAUGAACGCUGGCGGCGUGCCUAAUACAUGCAAGUCGAGCGAACGGACGAGAAGCUUGCUUCUCUGAUGUUAGCGGCGGACGGGUGAGUAACACGUGGAUAACCUACCUAUAAGACUGGGAUAACUUCGGGAAACCGGAGCUAAUACCGGAUAAUAUUUUGAACCGCAUGGUUCAAAAGUGAAAGACGGUCUUGCUGUCACUUAUAGAUGGAUCCGCGCUGCAUUAGCUAGUUGGUAAGGUAACGGCUUACCAAGGCAACGAUGCAUAGCCGACCUGAGAGGGUGAUCGGCCACACUGGAACUGAGACACGGUCCAGACUCCUACGGGAGGCAGCAGUAGGGAAUCUUCCGCAAUGGGCGAAAGCCUGACGGAGCAACGCCGCGUGAGUGAUGAAGGUCUUCGGAUCAUAAAACUCUGUUAUUAGGGAAGAACAUAUGUGUAAGUAACUGUGCACAUCUUGACGGUACCUAAUCAGAAAGCCACGGCUAACUACGUGCCAGCAGCCGCGGUAAUACGUAGGUGGCAAGCGUUAUCCGGAAUUAUUGGGCGUAAAGCGCGCGUAGGCGGUUUUUUAAGUCUGAUGUGAAAGCCCACGGCUCAACCGUGGAGGGUCAUUGGAAACUGGAAAACUUGAGUGCAGAAGAGGAAAGUGGAAUUCCAUGUGUAGCAGUGAAAUGCGCAGAGAUAUGGAGGAACACCAGUGGCGAAGGCGACUUUCUGGUCUGUAACUGACGCUGAUGUGCGAAAGCGUGGGGAUCAAACAGGAUUAGAUACCCUGGUAGUCCACGCCGUAAACGAUGAGUGCUAAGUGUUAGGGGGUUUCCGCCCCUUAGUGCUGCAGCUAACGCAUUAAGCACUCCGCCUGGGGAGUACGACCGCAAGGUUGAAACUCAAAGGAAUUGACGGGGACCCGCACAAGCGGUGGAGCAUGUGGUUUAAUUCGAAGCAACGCGAAGAACCUUACCAAAUCUUGACAUCCUUUGACAACUCUAGAGAUAGAGCUUUCCCCUUCGGGGGACAAAGUGACAGGUGGUGCAUGGUUGUCGUCAGCUCGUGUCGUGAGAUGUUGGGUUAAGUCCCGCAACGAGCGCAACCCUUAAGCUUAGUUGCCAUCAUUAAGUUGGGCACUCUAAGUUGACUGCCGGUGACAAACCGGAGGAAGGUGGGGAUGACGUCAAAUCAUCAUGCCCCUUAUGAUUUGGGCUACACACGUGCUACAAUGGACAAUACAAAGGGCAGCGAAACCGCGAGGUCAAGCAAAUCCCAUAAAGUUGUUCUCAGUUCGGAUUGUAGUCUGCAACUCGACUACAUGAAGCUGGAAUCGCUAGUAAUCGUAGAUCAGCAUGCUACGGUGAAUACGUUCCCGGGUCU
rnacentral:rRNA from 1 species